UACGUAGGGUGCGAGCGUUGUCCGGAAUUAUUGGGCGUAAAGAGCUUGUAGGCGGUCUGUCGCGUCUGCUGUGAAAAUCCGGGGCUCAACCCCGGACUUGCAGUGGGUACGGGCAGACUAGAGUGUGGUAGGGGAGACUGGAAUUCCUGGUGUAGCGGUGGAAUGCGCAGAUAUCAGGAGGAACACCGGUGGCGAAGGCGGGUCUCUGGGCCGACAUUGACGCUGAGACGCGAAAGCGUGGGGAGCAAACAGG
rnacentral:rRNA from 1 species